AUGGUGCGUUCACUGACACAUUGUGUGGAGGAGAACAGAGCAGAGGUUUUUGUACGGCCUCUUCAUGACUUUGUAUCACUGUGGUGGACGUUCGGAGGAGGAACACAAGUCAUCGUCCACAGUGGCCCGGUGCGCCCCCCCUCUGUCUCGCUCCUGGGCCCCUCUCUGCAGCAGCUCUCUGGGGGGAGGCUCUCUCUGCUCUGCCUGCUCAGCGCCUACUCUCCACAGGGCGCCCGUGUGAGCUGGGAGGUGGACGGACAGGAGCUCACAGACACAGGGGCGGCUCAGAGCAGUGUGGAGCAGGAGAAGAGCGGCCUGUACAGCAGCAGCAGCCUCCUGAGCCUGACUGAGGACAGCUGGCUGCAGGGACAGCUGUUCUCCUGCAGGGUGAGCCACCACGGACACACCCAGGUCCAGUCACUGCAGAGGAGCCAGUGCUUAGAGCUGCAUGGGCCCUGAACAUGGACCCCACCGACAACUGCAAUAAGAGUUAGAUGUAGAGUGUGGCUUAUGGUCAGAGCAGGGAGAGGUAAUAAAGCUUGUGUUACAUGAUAAGAA